CUGAGGAAGAGGGGAGAAAGUAGCAAAUCUCUUGAGCCUCAGGAUACAUCCUCCACAGGGCGGUAUUUCCCAAUUGUGCUUCUCUGUCAUCAACACCUUCUUCUUGUCUGGGCUCAUCAACCUUCCGGCCCAUUACAACAUGGUUCCAUCAGUGGAGAAAGCAGGACCCCACACCAAGAGGAUCAUCUGAGAAAUGCACAACG
rnacentral:lncRNA from 1 species